AUAAACAGGAAGUGGCGAGAGUGAGGGCCAAGCCAAAAGUGGAAAGAUAAGAUUUGUGUGAGUUAUGUGCGUGUGUGUGCCUGUCCGGCCUGAGUCCACUUGCACCCGUCAAGAGUCAGGUCAGGCUCCGAAGCUCAUGGGAUUAACAUUUCAUUGUUGCUGCCUGGUGUCUCCGACACGUCCUUGGUGACAUCAUCACUCAGGAGCACAUGAUUCAUCUCACUUCACCGCUUAACUGAAUUCAAGAGCUAUUAUGGACCACCUCUAAUCUGAAGAAUGAAUAAAGUAGUCUUAUCAGAGUUCUAUUUUACCCUGGCAGAUCUUACCACCAGCCGUCAUCUGCUUCUGGAAAAAUACACUUGUACUUGAGCCACAGAAAAUCCCCACUGAGAUAACCUUAUCAUAAGAUAUGUUAUCCGUCACUCUGAUGAUGUCAUGUGUUUUCAGUGCAGCUAUAAAUACAACGGCCAUAAACAUUCCAGAAGGCAAUGCCUACAUACUACACGCUACAAAUCGCUAGACGUGAGGAAAAACAGGAUCUGGGAAUAUCAGCCUCAGCAUCUGCUCCAACUACAAAACCAGCCUCUAAAAGCACAACAAAGUGGCUCUGCAGGCAUAAAUAAAGGCGGGAGGGGCACCGGAAAGAAGAGGAGGCAACAUAGGAAAGAAAAACGAGGCGCAAGGGUGUGUCCCCGCUUGUUUUAUUUGCCUUAAGCAUUUUGGAUCAUUUAUUUUGUGAUCUGUCAAUCAGCAAGAAAGAAUACUAUUUUUCUUCACUGUUAAGUGUGACUCAGCUUUCAAAGUCUUCACAGGAAAUAAGGAUGAGUAGGAAGGAAAAGGUCAACAACCUUGCUUGGGCUCAAAGGGUAGAACAGUUAGUCGUUGGGGAAAAGAAGGUAUACCAGUGAAGGCCACUGUGUCAUAUUUAUGACAGGAGGAGAGCUAAUGGUUGUCUGUAAGAGGAUCUGUGAACUCAACUGAGAAGUCACUUCCUAAGGGACCACUUACGCGACAACGUUUUCCCUGAAAAUGGAAAACAAAAGUCUUUUUUGGCGCAUUUGUUUAUACAACAGUAGAGUUUCAGAGGCUUAAAACAUUUGAAAAGGGGGCCUAAGAUUGGAAGUUUUGGAAAACAACACAGUUAUUGUUUCCAUGUAAACACAAAAGACAUUUGUCUGUGGGGGGAAAGAAAGGACAAGCGCGUGCAUGUUGAAAAUUGAUCAGUAAAUGCAGUAAAUGUGUGUGUCAUAGCUCAAAAAUUUCUCUUGAGGUUAUUUGUUUCUGGUUGAAGAUUGAUUUGGUGGUGUAAUCGAGUUUAG